GACGAACGCUGGCGGCGUGCCUAAUACAUGCAAGUUGAGCGCUGAAGGUUGGUACUUGUCCCAACUGGCUGAGCAGCGAACGGGUGAGUAACGCGUGGGGAAUCUGCCUUUGAGCGGGGGACAACAUUUGGAAACGAAUGCUAAUACCGCAUAAAAACUUUAAACACAAGUUUUAAGUUUGAAAGAUGCAAUUGCAUCACUCAAAGAUGAUCCCGCGUUGUAUUAGCUAGUUGGUGAGGUAAAGGCUCACCAAGGCGAUGAUACAUAGCCGACCUGAGAGGGUGAUCGGCCAAAUUGGGACGGAGACACGGCCCAAACUCCUACGGGAGGCAGCAGUAGGGAAUCUUCGGCAAUGGACGAAAGUCUGACCGAGCAACGCCGCGUGAGUGAAGAAGGGUGUCGGAUCGUAAAACUCUGUUGGUAGAGAAGAACGUUGGUGAGAGUGGAAAGCUCAUAAAGUGACGGUAACUACCCAGAAAGGGACGGCUAACUACGUG
rnacentral:rRNA from 1 species